rnacentral:rRNA from 1 species
CAAUAGCGUAUAUUAAAGUUGUUGCGGUUAAAAAGCUCGUAGUUGGAUUUCUGCUGAGGACGACCGGUCCGCCCUCUGGGUGAGCAUCUGGCUCGGCCUUGGCAUCUUCUUGGGGAACGUAGCUGCACUUGACUGUGUGGUGCGGUAUCCAGGACUUUUACUUUGAGGAAAUUAGAGUGUUUCAAGCAGGCGUACGCCUUGAAUACAUUAGCAUGGAAUAAUAAGAUAGGACCUCGGUUCUAUUUUGUUGGUUUCUAGAGCUGAGGUAAUGAUUAAUAGGGAUAGUUGGGGGCAUUCGUAUUUAACUGUCAGAGGUGAAAUUCUUGGGUUUGUUAAAGACGGACUACUGCGAAAGCAUUUGCCAAGGAUGUUUUCAUUGA